ensembl:lncRNA
GUGAACAGGGGUGGUGGUGGGCCUGUGCCUCCCUGGAAAUCACAGAGGAAGUUGGCCAGUACUGUGCUGCCUUUAAAGAUUCGUACAACCUCUCUGGUCUGCAGUGCUGCUGGUGGACCGAGGCAGAGAAAUUCCAGGCCUGCCGAAAGAGUCCGAAGUGGUUGAAUCUAUCCCCUCCCCGCAGAGGACUGAGGCCUGGCUCUGGGCAGGGCAUUGGACCCUAUACGCAGGGAUUAAAAAAGCCACAGCUUGGAUCCCGAGGGAUGUCAAGUCGGCCCAGAGCUCUGGACACCAGCAAGUGGUGAGUUGGAGGUGGGGACCCUCUGCAUCUCUGAACCCUCUCGGCUCUCUCUAGCUUCCUGCCCUCUUCUCCCAGCUCCGUUGCUCCCCAUUCCUCGGUUUCUCUUCCUGUCUCUGUGUCUCCCUCGCCAUCCUGCUCUCUCCCCCUUCCGUCCCUGCCUCUCUGUCUCUCCCUGCCAUCUCUCGGUGUUGUCUCUGCCUCUGUCCCUCACUCGGUGCUCUCUCUGACUCACUCUCUUGAGUCUCUGUCGCUUUCCGCCCCAGCUCUCUCUCUGUCUCUCCUCCCUCCCUCCCCUUGCGUCCCCCCUCCCCGUCCUGCCCCAACACCCCCCUCCCCCAACCCCCCUUCUCGUUUCUUCCCCAGCUCAGUCCCCCAGUGCCCUAUCUCCUCUCCCGUCUUUGUCUGUCUUCCUUAUCUCUCAGUCUCUCUUUUGGUCACUGUCUCUUAAUUUUGCACUUAACAAACACUUACUGAGCAUUUACUCUGUGCCGGGCCUUGUUCUAGGCACCUGGGUCACAGCGGUGAACAAAACAGGCAAAGCUUCCUGCUUUCAAGGGAGCUGACCUAUUGCUGGAGAGACAGACGAGAAGCAUGAUGAGUGACUUAAAUACAUGUUAUGUCUGUUAACAAGAAGCACAACGGACGAAGAUAAUCAGGGUGACAGGGAGUAAUGGAGUUGCUGGUUCCUGGGCAGAUGCAAAAGAGCCCAAACCAUAUGGAGAGCCCGCGCGUAGGCUCUCUGGUUGAAAAUCCCAGCUAUGCCCCCACUCGACGGCCAGAAUCGACGGCCAACCAUGCGAGCGGGUCACCUGGGACGUCCGGCCCGGUUGGGCCUUCAGAUGAGCACAGCUCCAGCCGACCUCAAGAGGCUCCAAGUGAGAAGUGCCCGGAAGUCCAUCCACAGGACCAUGAGAGAGGAUACCGAUUGGAGGCCAAUUUUUUGUUUGUUUGCUUGUUUGUUUUACUUGUGACACUAAAGGACAACUGUGAGCCUAUUCUUUCAUUAGGAUGAUGAUUAUUAAAAAAAAAUUUUUUUAAUGUUUGUUUAUUUUUGAGAGACAGAGAGAUAGAGCAUGAGUCGGGGAGGGGCGGAGAGAGAGAGGGAGACCCAGAAUCCGAAGCAGGUUCCGGGCUCCAAGCCAUCAGCACAGAGCCCGACGCGGGGCUCGAACCCACGAACCGCGAGCUCAUGACCUGAGCCGAAGUCGGACGCUCAACCGACUGAGCUCCCUAGGGGCCCCAACCCCUUCUCUUUCAGAGCAAUGCUCAGAGCCUGAGAGAGAUCUUUGUUGCCUGUCCCUGCUGCCCCAGGAGGCCUGGGGCUCAGGACUGUGGGGGACUGAAAAGUGUCCUUGCUGGCAGGGGACAGAAGCAGCGUAGAACACUUAGGAAGUGCCCGCCCCGAGUCUGAUAAGGACCGAGAGGAGAGUGUUUCAUGUUCUCUGUUUUCUGUUUGAUUACGUGCUGACGCCCGCACUUCGCUGUGAUAAAAAUAAACAAAUGUGGUUUUUAUCCA